CAGGACGAACGCUGGCGGCGUGCCUAAUACAUGCAAGUCGAACGAACUCUGGUAUUGAUUGGUGCUUGCAUCAUGAUUUACAUUUGAGUGAGUGGCGAACUGGUGAGUAACACGUGGGAAACCUGCCCAGAAGCGGGGGAUAACACCUGGAAACAGAUGCUAAUACCGCAUAACAACUUGGACCGCAUGGUCCGAGCUUGAAAGAUGGCUUCGGCUAUCACUUUUGGAUGGUCCCGCGGCGUAUUAGCUAGAUGGUGGGGUAACGGCUCACCAUGGCAAUGAUACGUAGCCGACCUGAGAGGGUAAUCGGCCACAUUGGGACUGAGACACGGCCCAAACUCCUACGGGAGGCAGCAGUAGGGAAUCUUCCACAAUGGACGAAAGUCUGAUGGAGCAACGCCGCGUGAGUGAAGAAGGGUUUCGGCUCGUAAAACUCUGUUGUUAAAGAAGAACAUAUCUGAGAGUAACUGUUCAGGUAUUGACGGUAUUUAACCAGAAAGCCACGGCUAACUACGUGCCAGCAGCCGCGGUAAUACGUAGGUGGCAAGCGUUGUCCGGAUUUAUUGGGCGUAAAGCGAGCGCAGGCGGUUUUUUAAGUCUGAUGUGAAAGCCUUCGGCUCAACCGAAGAAGUGCAUCGGAAACUGGGAAACUUGAGUGCAGAAGAGGACAGUGGAACUCCAUGUGUAGCGGUGAAAUGCGUAGAUAUAUGGAAGAACACCAGUGGCGAAGGCGGCUGUCUGGUCUGUAACUGACGCUGAGGCUCGAAAGUAUGGGUAGCAAACAGGAUUAGAUACCCUGGUAGUCCAUACCGUAAACGAUGAAUGCUAAGUGUUGGAGGGUUUCCGCCCUUCAGUGCUGCAGCUAACGCAUUAAGCAUUCCGCCUGGGGAGUACGGCCGCAAGGCUGAAACUCAAAGGAAUUGACGGGGGCCCGCACAAGCGGUGGAGCAUGUGGUUUAAUUCGAAGCUACGCGAAGAACCUUACCAGGUCUUGACAUACUAUGCAAAUCUAAGAGAUUAGACGUUCCCUUCGGGGACAUGGAUACAGGUGGUGCAUGGUUGUCGUCAGCUCGUGUCGUGAGAUGUUGGGUUAAGUCCCGCAACGAGCGCAACCCUUAUUAUCAGUUGCCAGCAUUAAGUUGGGCACUCUGGUGAGACUGCCGGUGACAAACCGGAGGAAGGUGGGGAUGACGUCAAAUCAUCAUGCCCCUUAUGACCUGGGCUACACACGUGCUACAAUGGAUGGUACAACGAGUUGCGAACUCGCGAGAGUAAGCUAAUCUCUUAAAGCCAUUCUCAGUUCGGAUUGUAGGCUGCAACUCGCCUACAUGAAGUCGGAAUCGCUAGUAAUCGCGGAUCAGCAUGCCGGGUGGAAUAC
rnacentral:rRNA from 1 species